rnacentral:rRNA from 1 species
AUUGGACAAUGGAGGCAACUCUGAUCCAGCCAUGCCGCGUGAAGGAAGACGGCCUUAUGGGUUGUAAACUUCUUUUAUACAGGAAGAAACCUUUCCACGUGUGGAAAGUUGACGGUACUGUAAGAAUAAGGAUCGGCUAACUCCGUGCCAGCAGCCGCGGUAAUACGGAGGAUCCAAGCGUUAUCCGGAAUUAUUGGGUUUAAAGGGUCCGCAGGCUGUUUGUUAAGUCAGAGGUGAAAUCCUACCGCUCAACGGUAGAACUGCCUUUGAUACUGGCAAACUUGAGUUAUUGUGAAGUAGUUAGAAUGUGUAGUGUAGCGGUGAAAUGCAUAGAUAUUACACAGAAUACCGAUUGCGAAAGCAGAUUACUAACAAUAUACUGACGCUGAGGGACGAAAGCGUGGGUAGCGAACAGGAUUAGAUACCCUGGUAGUCCACGCCGUAAACGAUGGUCACUAGCUGUUCGAUGUACAUUGGUACGUUGAGUGGCUAAGCGAAAGUGAUAAGUGACCCACCUGGGGAGUACGCUCGCAAGAGUGAAACUCAAAGGAAUUGACGGGGGCCCGCACAAGCGGUGGAGCAUGUGGUUUAAUUCGAUGAUACGCGAGGAACCUUACCAGGACUUAAAUGUAAGUUGCAUGAUUCAGAAAUGAAUCUUUCUUCGGACUACUUACAAGGUGCUGCAUGGUUGUCGUCAGCUCGUGCCGUGAGGUGUCAGGUUAAGUCCUAUAACGAGCGCAACCCCUAUCGUUAGUUGCCAUCAAGUAAAGUUGGGAACUCUAGCGAAACUGCCGGUGCAAACCGAGAGGAAGGUGGGGAUGACGUCAAAUCAUCACGGCCCUUACGUUCUGGGCUACACACGUGCUACAAUGGUCGGUACAGAAAGCAGCCACUAUGCAAAUAGGAGCUAAUCUUUAAAACCGAUCUCAGUUCGGAUCGCAGUCUGCAACUCGACUGCGUGAAGCUGGAAUCGCUAGUAAUCGGAUAUCAGCCAUGAUCCGGUGAAUACGUUCCCGGGCCUUGUACACACCGCCCGUCAAGCCAUGGAAGCUGGGGGUACCUAAAGUCGGUGACCGAAAGGAGCUGCCUAGGGUAAAACUAGUGACUGGGGCCAAGUCGUAACAAGGUAGCCGUACCGGAAGGUGCGGCUGGAAUACCUCCUUUCU